ACUGGCAAGGCCACCUCUAAGGCAAUGAUGGACAUCUUCAACACCCACGGUUCUUCUGAGGUCAUCUUGAGUGACCAAGGUUAGGAACGCUGGAACAAGGUUUGGUGAAUGGACCAACCAGACCCUCAAGACUGCCAUGGGCAAGUCCCUUGAUUGGUACAAGGAAGGGUGGGCGAACAACCUGAAGGUAAUUCUCUUUGCACACAACAGCAGCAUCCAGGCCUCCACUGACUACGGACUGGGGGCUGCAGCUGUUGGCUGAGGUAAACAAUGCAAUUAUAUAUACAAUUAUUGCAUAUACUGUAGUCUUUCAAAAAUGAUUGACUUAGUGUUGUUGUCUAUUGCUAUUUUUGUAUAACGUACUUUGAGAUCACUGAAACUCCACCUGAUGUGGUGGAAGUUGUCGAACCAGAUCAGAACGCCUUCGAGGACCACCUUCAGGCUGAGAAGGAUGUGGAAGUUUUUGACCAGGUGAGACUGAACAUUGACAAGGCGCAGGAGAAACAGAAGGAGAACUACCGGAGCAGAAUCAAGAAGGGGACCAAGUUCUACGACAUCCGGGCGAAUUACUUGGUUUGGAAGAAGCGCGAAAGGAAGGGUUACCUCGGUGAAAGCCAACAAUCUUCUCCAGUUGUACGGUCAAGCACUGACGCCUUACACUUCGGGGAAGCCCAAUAGACAAAGUAUGUUAAGUUUUGGUUGACAUUUGAGAAGGCAAGAAAUGGUAGUUAUGCUGAAAGCACGCCCCCAUCCACAUCGACAGGGCUGCAGUGGAACAGGUCGAGUGCUUCAAGUUCCUCGGUGUCCAAAUCACUAAGGACUUGAAAUGGUCCGCACCCACUCACACAGUCGUGAAGAAGUUCGGGAGGUUGAAAAGGUUUGGCAUGUGCCCUCAAAUCCUCAACAAGUUCUACAGCUGUACACCUGAGAGCAUAUUUACUGGCUGUAUCACUGCUUAUGACAAUAGCACCGCCCUCGAUCGCAUGGCGCUAGAGGGUUGUCUGGACAGCCCAGUACAUCACUGGUGCCGAGCUACCUACCAUCCAGGACGUCUAUAUCAGGCUGUGUGAAAGCAAGUCUCCAACCACCCAAGCCAUAGACUGUUUGCACUGCUUCCGCAUGGCAAGCGGUACCGGUGCAUCAAGUCUGACAUCAGCAGGAUUAUGAACAGCUUCUAUCCCAUACCAGAAGACUGCUAAAUAGCUAACAAAAUGGUUAUGCUGACUGAGUUGACCUUUGUAUUUUAUUAUUAUUUUUGCACUCUAUGCACACUCACAGGGCCCUACAAAGUACUCACACUGA